UACGAGAGGCCCAAACGUUAUUCGGAAUUACUGGGCUUAAAGGGUUCGUAGGCGGCCUUGUAAGUGGGGUGUGAAAUCCCUCGGCUCAACCGAGGAAUAGCGCUCCAAACUGCAAGGCUUGAGGGAGACAGGGGUAAGCGGAACUGAUGGUGGAGCGGUGAAAUGCGUUGAUAUCAUCAGGAACACCGGUGGCGAAAGCGGCUUACUGGGUCUCUUCUGACGCUGAGGAACGAAAGCUAGGGUAGCGAACGGG
rnacentral:rRNA from 1 species